rnacentral:sRNA from 2 species
CACUAUAAAAUCUUCUAUCUAUUACUGUCAAUCUAUCUAUUACUGUCAAUCUAUCUAUUGCUGUCAAUCUAUCUACUACUGCUAAUCUAUCUAUUGCUGCUAAUCUAUUGCUGCUAAUCUAUCACUGUCAAUCUAUCUACUACUGUCAAUCUAUCUAUCAUUGCUAAUCUAUACUGCUGUCAAUCUAUCUAUUGCUGUCAAUCUAUCUAUCACUGUCAAUCAAUCUAUCUAUCACUGUCAAUCUAUCUACCACUGCUAAUCUAUCUAUUGCUGCUAAUCUAUCGCUGCUAAUCUAUUGCUGCUAAUCUAUUGCUGCUAAUCUAUCACUGCUAAUCUAUCGCUGCUAAUCUAUCACUGCUAAUCUAUUGCUGCUAAUCUAUUGCUGCCAAUCUAUCUACCACUGUCA